rnacentral:RNase_P_RNA from 1 species
UAGGUGGGUCGCUCUAUCGCUCUCUCACAAAGGGGGAGGAAAGUCCGGACAGGGUAGAGCAAGACUCUGUGGAAAUCACAGCUAGGGGUAACCUUAGGGCUAUCGUAACAGAAAAUUACCGCCUCUUGUGAGGUAAGGGUGAAAACGCGGGGUAAGAGCCCACGCCAAGAUAUGGUGACAUAUUUUGGGUACGACCAGUCUCCUGCAAGGCCAUGUAUACCGGCUUAGGACUGCUCGUCCGAUAAUGCCGGGGGGUAGGCUGCAUCAGAUAAAUGAUAGAGGCCUCAAUGAGGCACAGAAUCCGGCUUACAGACCCACCUUUUUA